UUUCCUAUAUGGAGCAUAUCAGAUCCUUUCGGAGGAAUUGUCUGCUGAAACCUUAGCGAGCCCUGCUAUUCAGGGCUGACCGUACGACUAUAAAUAAGACGGGUCCUUGGUUAAAGGUAUUCAGUAUCUUAACUAAGUUGCUGGUCAGCUUUACCGCUGGCAACACCCUUAGUCUGCGGGAAUACUCUCAAGAGCAACCUGCAGCUAUGCUUUCUGCGGCAUACCGCCAGAUAGUGUGGCUCACAGGCUAAAUAGUGGUGGAUGCCGUCCUAAGAUGGUAUUUCAGAUAUAGUCGCGUCCCGGGAACAUUGAUACCGAGACUGUGUUCCGUAGGUGAACCUGCGGAAGGAUCAUUA
rnacentral:rRNA from 1 species